AUGUCAUUGGAUACGAAGUGAAUGGGUCAAUAGGCUUGUCUACAGCUCCGACCCAGGAAAGUCCCAGGGACACUACACCGCAGAGAUGCGGCCUCGGUAACGAGAGAAUCUUGCGGUUGGAGAGACGCAGUCGGCUGAGACGUGGAGCGAGCUUAUGUGGUCUCUCCGAAUGAUACCAUGGCCGUUGGUAACACAACAGUUAUUCACUUAGAGUCCCUUAACAGAACGGGGCUUACGUUUCCAAUGGCA
rnacentral:SRP_RNA from 1 species